rnacentral:rRNA from 1 species
GACGAACGCUGGCGGCGUGCUUAACACAUGCAAGUCGAACGGAAAGGCCCCUUUGGGGGUACUCGAGUGGCGAACGGGUGAGUAACACGUGAGUAACCUUCCCUUGACUUCGGGAUAACGUCAGGAAACUGGGGCUAAUACCGGAUAGGAAUCCUUGCUGCAUGGUGGGGGUUGGAAAGCUUCGGCGGUUUUGGAUGGACUCGCGGCUUAUCAGCUUGUUGGUGGGGUAGUGGCUUACCAAGGCUUUGACGGGUAGCCGGCCUGAGAGGGCGACCGGCCACAUUGGGACUGAGAUACGGCCCAGACUCCUACGGGAGGCAGCAGUGGGGAAUAUUGCACAAUGGGCGGAAGCCUGAUGCAGCAACGCCGCGUGCGGGAUGACGGCCUUCGGGUUGUAAACCGCUUUCAGCAGGGGCGAAGCUUGUGGUGACGGUACCUGCAGAAGAAGCACCGGCUAACUACGUG